rnacentral:rRNA from 1 species
CCUACGGGCGGCAGCAGUGAGGAAUAUUGGUCAAUGGACGAGAGUCUGAACCAGCCAAGUAGCGUGAAGGAUGACUGCCCUAUGGGUUGUAAACUUCUUUUAUAUGGGAAUAAAAUGUUCCACGUGUGGGAUUUUGUAUGUACCAUAUGAAUAAGGAUCGGCUAAAUCCGUGCCAGCAGCCGCGGUAAUACGGAGGAUCCGAGCGUUAUCCGGAUUUAUUGGGUUUAAAGGGAGCGUAGGUGGAUUGUUAAGUCAGUUGUGAAAGUUUGCGGCUCAACCGUAAAAUUGCAGUUGAAACUGGCAGUCUUGAGUACAGUAGAGGUGGGCGGAAUGCGUGGUGUAGCGGUGAAAUGCUUAGAUAUCACGAAGAACUCCGAUUGCGAAGGCAGUUCACUGGACUGCAACUGACACUGAGGCUCGAAAGUGUGGGUAUCAAACAGGAUUAGAUACCCCUGUAGUC